GGCUGGUCCGAAGGUAUAUCACUUGAUUUUUCACAAUCAGUUACAGAUUGGACUCCUUGUUCUACUACUUUCGCCUCUCCUCACUACUAUACUUGACUAGUCUUAA
rnacentral:Y_RNA from 1 species